UUUGCCAAUGUUUUCAUUUGGGUCCAGGCUAAGAUGCUCAAGCCUCGAUCUCAUCACAAGUACAAAGGCAAAGUAUCUCUGAUAGUGAGCACCUAUACAACAUCACCGUCAAACAAGCAGCCAGAUGCCUUCUAGGGAGCUCAAGAACCAGGUUCAAUAAUGAUUUUAGAAUGUCCAGAUUCUGUCUAUUUUGAUGCUGCUGUUGGGAGGAGGACCACAAUCAAGGACUGUGAUGGGAAGACCGGCCUGCAUGGCGUGGCUACCAAUGGCACUAUUAUCAAACAGACACCAAGUGGGUUAUGUUUACUUGGAAAGACGGAGGCAUGCCAAACUAAGGAAGAAGAAAAUUCCAAGGUGCUACUUGGUGGAAUACAAUGAAAAGAAGAAGUAAUAAAAGCUCUUCCUAAAUUAAAUAUAACGAGAUCGUCGGCGUCGUGGCUGUCACCGUCGUUGUCGCUAUCGUCGCAUUGAUAUCUGUAUAUUGAAUCCAAUCAUUUGUCGCUGUACACGUAUUUAAUUGGAGUAGG